UUGGAAUGUGAAGUUGAAGUUCAAUAAUGCCAAUCAUAGAACAAACAUAACUUCAGGUUGGGGACCAAUUGUUGAGGAGUAUAAUUUAAAAGUGGGUGAUGUUUGUGUAUUUGAGUUGCUUGAUACCACAAAUAUUUUAUUCAAAGUUCAUCUUGUCCGUCUCAAAGAUUAAUCUACCUAGCUCUAAGCACUUUCAAGAUUAUGAAAGUCCUACGUUGAAGAAGAGAUGAAGACAAAAUUAAUUCAAAUAUGAAGACAUUGCGACUAAGAUCCAUUUACUUUCAAGUUAAUGUUUUUUUUUUUCUUUUUUGUUUUGUCAAGAAACUAUUUUCUACAUGAACAUGCAAUUCUUAUGCAUUAACAUGUAUGCAGUAGAAUAUUUACCUUU